GAUGAACGCUGGCGGCGUGCCUAAUACAUGCAAGUCGAGCGGAGCGGGGACGGGUGAGUAACACGUGGAUAACCUCCUAUAAGACUGGGAUAACUUAGGGAAACGGGAGCUAAACCGGUUACUUAUCAAUGGAUCCGCGCGGCAUUAGCUAGUUGGUAAGGUACCGGCUUACCAAGGCAACGAUGCAUAGCCGACCUGAGAGGGUGAUCGGCCACACUGGAACUGAGACACGUUCCAGACUCCUACGGGAGGCAGCAGUAGGGAAUCUUCCACAAUGGGCGAAAGCCUGACGGAGCAACGCCGCGUGAGUGAUGAAGGUCUUCGGAUCGUAAAACUCUGUUAUUAGGGAAGCGGUACCUAAUCAGAAAGCCACGGCUAACUACGUGCCAGCAGCCGCGGUAAUAC
rnacentral:rRNA from 1 species